UGGUGGAAAAUGCUUGUAAUCCAGGUCUUU
rnacentral:piRNA from 1 species